GGGCGGUUAGCUCAGUUGGUUAGAGCGCAGUCCUGAUAAGACUGAGGUCGGAGGUUCGAAUCCUCCACCGCCCACCA
rnacentral:tRNA from 1 species